rnacentral:SRP_RNA from 1 species
UCGUGCUAGACGGGGACGUAGCGGCGCCCUGAACCCGCAACCCGCUAUAGCGGGGUUGAAUUCCCAUCCGAGGCCGACCCUUCGUGGGGCCUGGCCCUGUUAAGUGGCGACGAAGGCUGGGUCCUGCGCAACAGAAGUCUGUGAACCCCGUCAGGACCGGGAGGUAGCAGCGGUAAGCAGAAUGUUCUGUGUGCCGCAGGGGCGCCUGGCCGGAGCAGGCUGGCAGGUUACCGCCUGGGAAGGGCGUUCGAAGGUGGGUGCACGA